rnacentral:rRNA from 1 species
AUGGUGGGGCGUGCCCGGCCGCAUGCUGGAGGUCGUCCUCGAGUAUAUCGAGGGCGGCAACAUGCCAAGGCUAGAGUACCCCACACCCCCGUCCUUCUCCCGCUGACGUGGAAGCUCGUGGACGCCGAGGCGCAUGGAUCUGGGGGCGUCCUCCUCCUCGUCCGGCCGCUCGUCCGGCUCUCCCUGCCUCCGCCACGUCAAGCCGGAGCCCCAGGACAUGCCGGUCAGCCAGCGCACCCGCCGCUCCGUCCGCAACGCCGACUCCUCCCCCACCUCUGGCCGCCUCGUCUUCAUCAGGCCGAAGGUGGAGCCCGGCCUUCCCGCGGAGUACGAGGCCAUUGCCCGGCGUGGCUUCUCUGA